rnacentral:rRNA from 1 species
GGGUGCGAUCAUACCAUCACUAAUGCACCGGAUCCCAUCAGAACUCCGAAGUUAAACGUGCUUGGGCGAGAGCUGUACUAAGAUGGGUGACCUCUUGUGAAGUCCUCGUAUUGCACCCC